AAGUCGUAACAAGGUUUCCGUAGGUGAACCUGCGGAAGGAUCAUUCAAAAUAAAAGUGAAUUUUUAUGGCACUUUUAAAACAAUCCAUAUCCACCUUGUGUGCAAUGUAAAAAAAAAUGAAAGAGGAUUGGUUUUUUUUAUUAAUUUCCAAUCCUUUUUUCUAUAAUAUCAACUCUUUUGCCUUGAAACAUGUUUGUCUGAAAUAAAAAUAUUCUUGAAUAACUUAAUUCAAAAAUACAACUUUCAACAACGGAUCUCUUGGCUCUC
rnacentral:misc_RNA from 1 species